rnacentral:rRNA from 1 species
ACCAGACUCCUACGGGAGGCAGCAGUGAGGAAUAUUGGUCAAUGGCCGCAGGGCUGAACCAGCCAAGUCGCGUGAGGGAUGACGGUCCUAUGGAUUGUAAACCUCUUUUGUCAGGGAGCAAAGGGCGCCACGUGUGGCGCUUUGCGAGUACCUGAAGAAAAAGCAUCGGCUAACUCCGUGCCAGCAGCCGCGGUAAUACGGAGGAUGCGAGCGUUAUCCGGAUUUAUUGGGUUUAAAGGGUGCGCAGGCGGAAUGUCAAGUCAGCGGUAAAAUUUCGGGGCUCAACCCCGUCGUGCCGUUGAAACUGGCGGCCUCGAGUGGGCGAGAAGUAUGCGGAAUGCGUGGUGUAGCGGUGAAAUGCAUAGAUAUCACGCAGAACUCCGAUUGCGAAGGCAGCAUACCGGCGCUCAACUGACGCUCAUGCACGAAAGCGUGGGUAUCGAACAGGAUUAGAUACCCCAGUA